rnacentral:rRNA from 1 species
AUGUGGUUUAAUUCGACGCAACGCGUAAAACCUUACCUACCCUUGACAUGUCCGGAAUCCCGAAGAGAUUUGGGAGUGCUCGCAAGAGAACCGGAACACAGGUGCUGCAUGGCUGUCGUCAGCUCGUGUCGUGAGAUGUUGGGUUAAGUCCCGCAACGAGCGCAACCCUUGUCAUUAGUUGCCAUCAUUUGGUUGGGCACUCUAAUGAGACUGCCGGUGACAAACCGGAGGAAGGUGGGGAUGACGUCAAGUCCUCAUGGCCCUUAUGGGUAGGGCUUCACACGUCAUACAAUGGUCGGUACAGAGGGUUGCCAACCCGCGAGGGGGAGCUAAUCCCACAAAGCCGAUCGUAGUCCGGAUCGCAGUCUGCAACUCGACUGCGUGAAGUCGGAAUCGCUAGUAAUCGUGGAUCAGCAUGUCACGGUGAAUACGUUCCCGGGUCUU